ACUGCUCACAGGUGCAGAGCUUCUCUACAGUAUGAGUUCGCUGAUGACGCUUUAAAUAUCCAGAUUGACUGAAACUCUUCCCACACUGCUCACAGGUGCAGGGCUUCUCUUCAGUAUGAGUCUGCUGAUGAACCUUUAAAUAUCCAGAUUGACUGAAACUCUUCCCACACUGCUCACAGGUGCAGGGCUUCUCUUCAGUAUGAGUCUGCUGAUGAACCUUUAAAUGUCCAGAUUGACUGAAACUCUUCCCACACUGCUCACAGGUGUAGGGCUUCUCUCCAGUAUGAGUCCGCUGAUGACGCUUCAAAGUUGCAGAUAGUAUGAAACUCUUCCCACACUGCUCACAGGUGUAGGGCUUCUCUCCAGUAUGAGUCCGCUGAUGACGCUUCAAAGUUGCAGAUAGUAUGAAACUCUUCCCACACUGCUCACAGGUGCAGAGCUUCUCUACAGUAUGAGUUCGCUGAUGACGCUUUAAAUAUCCAGAUUGACUGAAACUCUUCCCACACUGC